AUUGAACGCUGGCGGAAUGCUUUACACAUGCAAGUCGAACGGCAGCACGGGGGCAGCCCUGGUGGCGAGUGGCGAACGGGUGAGUAAUACAUCGGAACGUGCCCGGUCGUGGGGGAUAACGUAGCGAAAGUUACGCUAAUACCGCAUACGAUCUGAGGAUGAAAGCGGGGGACCUUCGGGCCUCGCGCGAUCGGAGCGGCCGAUGUCAGAUUAGGUAGUUGGUGGGGUAAAGGCCUACCAAGCCGACGAUCUGUAGCUGGUCUGAGAGGACGACCAGCCACACUGGGACUGAGACACGGCCCAGACUCCUACGGGAGGCAGCAGUGGGGAAUUUUGGACAAUGGGCGCAAGCCUGAUCCAGCCAUUCCGCGUGCAGGACGAAGGCCUUCGGGUUGUAAACUGCUUUUGUACGGAACGAAAAGGCUCUGGCUAAUACCUGGGGCUCAUGACGGUACCGUAAGAAUAAGCACCGGCUAACUACGU
rnacentral:rRNA from 1 species